CAGCAGCGCGAAACCGUUACACUGCACGCACGUGCGAUAAGGGGACUCCGAGUGCGAGGGCAUAUCGUCCUCGCUUUCGUGUACCGUAGGGUGGUACACCAACAAGGGCUGGGCAAGACCGGUGCCAGCCGCCGCGGUAAUACCGGCAGCCCGAGUGAUGGCCGAUCUUAUUGGGCCUAAAGCGUCCGUAGCUGGCUGCGCAAGUCCGUCGGGAAAUCCACUCGCCCAACGAGUGGGCGUCCGACGGAAACUGCACAGCUUGGGACCGGAAGGCUCGAAGGGUACGUUCGGGGUAGGAGUGAAAUCCCAUAAUCCCGCACGGACCACCGAUGGCGAAAGCACUUCGAGAAAACGGAUCCGACAGUGAGGGACGAAAGCCAGGGUCUCCAACCGGAUUAGAUACCCGGGUAGUCCUGGCCGUAAACAAUGUUCGCUAGGUAUGACACAGACUACGCGUCUCUGUGUGCCGUAGGAAGCCGAGAAGCGAACCGC
rnacentral:rRNA from 1 species